CAACCUCAUCUCUCCCCAACACCACAACUACACCUCUCUCCACAACCUCAUCUCUCCCCAUCACAACUACACCUCUCUCCACAACCUCAUCUCCCCCCAACACAACUACACCUCUCUCCACAACCUCAUCUCCCUCCAACACCAAAAUGACACAUCCUUCAACAGUUACACCUCCCCUGACUAAUUCAUCUCCUCUCUCAACUACAUCUAACCCCACAACUGCAACUACACCUUCCCUUACAUCUCCCUCCACAAACACAUUUCCCCUCACUACUACAUCUAAUCCCACAGCCACAACUACAUCUCCCCCCACAACCUCGUCUGUAUCCACAUUCCCAUCUCCCCCCAGCACUACAACUGCACCUUUCUCCACAAUCACAUCUCCCUCCAUAACCACAGCUACGCCUCCCUCAAGAACUUCACCUACAACCACAACUACACUUCCUCCUACAACCCUAUCUUCCCCCAAAACCACAGCUACACCUCCCCUCACAAUCUUUUUUCCCCCCACAAGCUCAUCUCUCUCCACAACCUCAUCUUCCCCCACAAUCACAACUAUACCUCCUUCAACAGUUAUACCUCCCCUGACUAACGUAUCUCCCCUCACAUCUACAUCUAACCCCACAACCACAACUACACCUCCCCUCACAACCCCAUCUCUCUCCACAACCCCAUCUCUCUCCAUAACCACAACUAUGCCUUCCUCCAGAACGUCUUCUUUCUCAACAACCACAACUACAUUUCCUGCCACAAACCUGUCUUCCCCCACAACCACAACUACACAUCCCUCCACAACCUCAUCUAACCCCAAAACCACAGCUACACCUUCCUCCACAACUAUACAUUCCCUCACAACCUCUUCAUUUCUCAUGACCUCAGCAACUGUGAACAACAAUGAAACAACAGCAUCUGCAAGAGGUCAAUGUGAUGGCUAUAAGUGUUGUCCUGGCCAGAACAAUUCAUGUGUACAGUCCAAGUGCUGUCCAGCAAAACGCUGCUAUUGCGAUGAAGCAUGCAUUCAUUUUUCAGACUGCUGCCAGGACUAUGUUCCUACAUGUAAACCAGGUAAUUCAGUGUUAAAGAAUUUUAGACAUGUGAUCAUCUCGUUUAACAAGAAAACAUAACAUAUUAUAUGAAGAAAAUCUGUGAGUUGGGUUAUUUAGAUUGGGUGAGUUAACUGUAUACUCCAAUAUCUAUGUAAAAUGGUAACAGAUAUCUAAUUAUUUAGCAAUCAAGAUCAAAGAAAUGGAGGGUUAACACAAUUAUGAAUUAUAUCACAUAUCUAAACUUCUUGCUAAAAAAGAAAAGGCCAUUUAUAAUACUGUUUCUACAGGACAUUAGAGAUUUUGUUGAAUGGUUUUGUUUUUUUAACAGAAAAGAAGUAAUGCAUUCUAGGAUCUCGUCCCAAAGUUACACCAAAGUACUGACCUACAGUAUAGCCACUAGAUGUCAGCCUCUGUGUUUAAAAUGCU
rnacentral:lncRNA from 1 species